rnacentral:lncRNA from 10 species
AAGAGUCACUUAGUUACACAAUGGCAAGGGAUUGAACAGCUAUGUCUCCUGAAAAGGUGACAAGACAAGCCCAUCUUGCAAGUCACUGAAUCCUUCAUGCAACAUGCUAUGUGCAAGUCUCCAGGGGACCCAUCUUCUUGGCUAUUCCUAAAAUUCCAUGAGAUGUUUUUCUGCCUUACUAUCAGAUUAGUCUUACUACAAACAUAUUACUGAUGGUAGCUGGACUGAGUUGCUGUUCUACCCUACUGAACUGAACUCUACCUGGGGGCCUGAAUCAUGUUUAAUUUAUCUUUAUAGACAUCUCAUUUAGACAGAGUACCCCUGCCGCCAAAGUGGCAGUUCGAGAGAAUAAACAAAAUUGGUUGAUGAAUUAUUUGACAUAAUGACAUAUUACUAGAAGGGCACCCUCUCUCAUUCUGACCAUAUGAGAAAGACUUAGACAAACAUUUCUAAUGAAAUUCAGAAUCAAGAGAGCUUGCCUUAUAUUUGAGACUUUCUUUGGGAGGUCAGCCCUUUGAGUUGAUUGGAGGUGACUUUAAACUCUAAGUGGGGUUACUUAAAUAAAGAGAUUAGUUUGUUACCAACAGAUUCUGAAUAAAAUUCAACUUUCCUUAUUUUAAAAAUGAUACUCAUUAGCGUCAUUCUAUCUGUAUCUUAUUUAAUGCUUGUAAUAAUCCUGAGGCAUCAGAAUCCUUUUCCUCUAUAUUGAGAUGAAAACCUGGCACAGACAGAGUAGAAACCAGUGGACUAAAAGGAUAGCAGAGUGCACAGUAGGGUACUUAACCAUGCCUGAGAUGCUGAGUCCAUUGUGCUGGUCUUUGGCAAAGCCCAUGAAUGGAAUGCACAGAGCUCAAUUCCUCCUCGAAGCCUUGAACCUCUCACUUUAUUUUUCCUUGCCUGUUGCUUCCUGAUGUGUGUGUGUACGUGUGUGUAUUUCUUCAGCUCAUUCCCUUUUUCUUUGGCUUCUUUUUUCAGUCCUACACUUAAGCUGCAAAGGACCACAAGCUACGUAUGAAUUGAUUUACCUUUUUAAUCCAUCCUUCCCAGUCCAGUUUCAGCCAGGCAAAAGUUAAAGUGGCUGGUUCCGCUCCUGGGCCUGUCACAUCUGGGGUACCUUGAGAUACCUGAUGGGCAUAGUCUUCCAAAUGACUGCACCCUGCCCUACUCCACCACUUGCACAACUUCGCAUGGUCUCAAAUAUAGUCUUUAGUUCCCAGAAUAGCAUAGUGCACUCACUCUAAGGAUGCAAUUUAUUCACUCAUACUAAUUGCUGCUUAAUUCUGCAUUCACCCCAGCAGCUAAGACAAUUAGUGUUCACAAGCCAUAAUGUUAUGCCAUGUUUAGUUUGCAAAUAAAGUGACAUGCUCAUAUUCUGAAAGGAAGAACUUAAAUCCAAACUUUUAAAAACUUCAACUUUUACAUAUUUUACAAAUUUUCAAAUGUUACAUAUUUAGUGUUAAUUUUAUCAAGACGGGGGACAUACAUACCAUAUGGUCUCAGACAAAUCACCUAACUGCUCUGUAUGUCAAUGUUAUUUAAAGUUAAAUUUUACUUUCUUCAAAGGAUUAUGGUUAAGCUCAAAUGACAUUAGGUCCUUUAUAAAAAGAUAAAAGAUAGUUUGUAAUAUUUUUUUAAAUUAUCAAUACCUUCUGAUGGACAGCAUCAAUGUGCCUUCGAUUUAGGUUUGGAAAUUGUGCUUUCACAAUUUUAUUUAGACAGCUACAACUUUAAAGUAAAAAGCUUGUAUAAUAAUUAAAAACUGAUUGAUUUUAACGAAAUCACAGAAUUCAGAAUCUCCUAGUCACCCACUGAUUUAGGGCUAAAUAGUUAAAUAAAUGACUGAGUGUCUGGUAGUUAAUCUUUACACAGUUUCACAUUCAUGCCUGAAAUAAGCAAAUUGUACAUAGGAGUUCAAAGUUUAGAACCUGACUUAAAAAUAUGUUGAGAAAGCGUGUAGUUUUUCAUUAGUAAAGAAAAAAGGAAAAACAAUAUGCAUAUUGAGCAAGAUUCUUUAAGCAUAUCAUUGAGAAAUGGGUAACAUUACUCUGCUACGAGUGUAUAUUUCAUAUCUAGGAUAUGAAUUACUUGCUGAACACGUUAAGAAAAUCAAUACAUUUGCUUCAGUGUUACUACUAAAUAACACCCCACUGGCCUCAAAAUAAAAGCAGAAAGGAAAAAAGAAAAUCUAGUAUAUUUUUAAAAAGUGUAUCAACUUUCUUUUCUUAGGUUUCAUAAAAUGAAAGGGGAAGAAACUCUGUUCAAGAGUAGGCAUUUUCACUUCUCUAAAUAAAUAUUUAAUAUGACUACUAGCAGCAUAAGACAAUUAAAGUUACCAGAAAACAGAGGACUUAAAAUCUGUUUAAGAAUAUCUUUCCCUCGUCUGGAGUUUGACCUAAUCUUACCGCUUAAACUCAAAUAAGAACAGGACUAACUUUGGUUUGUCAAAUGUAACCAUAUUCAGUGCACUAUGUUCAUCAGUUCUUUUCUAUUACAUUAGUAAAGAUCUUUUCAUUUAACCCAUUUCUAAAGGUGGGGCCUUUAGGAAGGUCAUACCAUUUUUAUUUACAAAAAGAAUAUAUAUAAAAAAAGAAGAGAGUAGCAGAAAAAAACCUCUAAAACACUAUGACAAGGAUUCUAGCUGACAGAAGUUUCAUUUGGAAAAAACAUGGAGUAAACAUUAGGGUAGAGAGUUUUUAUCAGCGCCUCAAGCUUACCAGCUAGGAUCCCAAUGGAGUGUUUGGCUCCCAGAAUCUCUCCAAGAACCUCUCAAGAAUUCCUUGAAAAUGUACAGGCCAGAUCUUAGGGUGAGAAAUUCAAAGAACUGCUCAGACUCCACCCAGUGGAGAAUUUAUAAAUAUUUUACUUUACUUCCUCUCCCCUAACCAAUCGGUAAUCUCCAGCCACUGUCAGAAAUUUAAGCAACAUGUGCUCCUGCCCACCAUUUCAAAUGCCAGAGCCUCCAGUGAGGGCUUCUUUCCAGAGGCAACUUUGCUCUUUAAACUCAGGUAAACACACACUUGUCCUUUAACUAUAUAAAUCUCUGACCCCUGAACUGAUGAGUUGGUCUUAGAGCUAAAUUCCAAAUUUUGCCUUUCUUCUUCACUUUGAGCUCUGGAUUUUUGAGACAAUACCCUCCUUCAAAUACACUGAGGAUUUUCAGUCUGAUGGUUGAAUCUAUGACAUUUAAUGGGUAAACUUUUUAGUCAAAAGUUUAAAAUAGGCUCUCAAUUCCAGAAUACACUCUAUUGCCUAAUAUGUGAGUUUUCAAAAACUCCUAGGUAAUAAAUCUGGACAGUUAACAAGACAAUGAAGGAAGAAAGAUCUGAAGAUUCAAGUGGAAACUAGCCUGGCAAACUUCAUUAAUGCAAAUUAUUCAUUUAAGUCUGUGAAUUGUCUUUUGUUCUAGUCUGACUACCUCUUUAGGCUUAUUCCUGAGCUUGGGUCUUUUGAUGAAUAUCCUUGUAGUUAUAAAAACUAAGAGCAAAGACUUUCGAUAUUAGGACUAGGGAUGAAGAAUGUGCUUGAAUAAUUGAAUGACUUAUGCACACCUAUGCUUUAUUUAGUAACCCACAACAAAUCAAGUAAAGUGUCAUUUAAUCAUUUCUAUCAAGUGUUCAUUGUAUAACCCUGAGCAAUUCACUUAACCCUUGUGGAGGCUCAGUCUCCUAUUUAUCAAAUGAACUUAAUAAUACCUUCCUCCCAAGAUUACUGAAACGAUAAAACCAUGCAGGUUGAAGGCCAUAGAUACCAUGACACUCAAGUCAAAAGUGACAUAUUGUCUUUUUUUUAAUCUUAAGUAACCAGACAAAAAGUACUACUCUCCAGUUUCCAAGAGAGGGAGAUAAAGUGCAUGAAAUUGCUUUAAUACGAGUAAUUGACCAGUGAAAAUAAAAUAUAUUUCACUUCAUUGAUCCUAUCCUUACAAUAAUCCUAUAAAGUAAGUAGACUACCAAUUGAUUAACUUAGAAUAGUAAAAGUUUGAAUCCAUUCAGGAAAUUUCAGAAGGUGUACUUUUUUUGCAUCUAUUCUGUGUAUGCCUCAUGCUGUAAAAACUUUGGAAGAUUACCAGGCUCUAAUAUAUGGGGAGCGAACCAGAGGGCGGAUCUGUGUCAUUUUUGUGUCACUCUUUUAAAGACUGACUAUAGAUUUAGAGAGCUAGAUAUGGACAUUAAGGUUUUGUUUUCACAAGAUCUUGCUUCUUCUAAAAUCUUGUAAUAAUAUGAUUAAAAAUUUCAUCAAAAUAUUAUCUUAAAAACUACUGUUUAACUUGUCACCUUUAAAGAACUUGCUUGGAGGUCUAAGCUAUACUUCUAUUUCUUAUGUUUUAUAAAUUUCUUUCUUUCUUUAAAUUUGUUACAUUUGAGGAAUAAAAAUAAAAUCCCAAGCCCCUAGAUUAACUGAACGGACACGCUCUUGGCCAAGGGGAUCCCAGAGUAAACUUGAAAACUAAGUUUUUGGCCAUGACAGGAUAGGAAGUGGAACACAUACCCGCUCCAUCACUAACUAUGAUUAGGCUUUCUGCCCUAUGGCUAAAAAGAAACCAGUCAUUUCAAAAGAUUACACCAAUGACAUCAACCAUCACCUGGUGUUAUCCCUCUCUUUUGUGGUUUGGAACAAAAAGAAAAUACUGAUCAUGGAAUGUUUCUGGCUAGUCUAUGGAGAAUGUGCAGUAAAGGUUUUCAUGUCCUCUGCUUCACAUUGGGCUGAAAACUGCCCCCUCAGAUUGUAUUAAUGCUGUCAUUUUUUGAACACGGAUCCCAUGGAGAAGCAUGAAACUCCAUUGUGCAUGUGCACAU